GCAUGCCUGUAGUCCCAGCUACUUGGGAGGCUGAGGCAUGAGAAUCGCUUGAACCUGGGAGGUGGAGGUUGCAGUGAACCGAGAUCGCGCCACUGCGCUCCAGCCUGGGUGACAGAGCGAGACUCCGUCUCAAAAAAAAAAAAAAAAAAAGAAUGAAUAAGAUCUAGUAUUUGCUAGCACGACAGGGCGAAUAUAGUAAAACAAAAUUGUACAUUUAAAAAUAACAAAACCUAGGCAACAUGGCAAAACUCUGUUUCUACGAAAAACACACAAAAAUUAGCAAGGUGUGCCGGUGUGUGUCUGUAAUCCUAGCUACUCAGGGGGAGCUGAGAGGUGGAAGGAUCACUUGAGCCCAGGAGG
rnacentral:lncRNA from 10 species